rnacentral:rRNA from 1 species
UACGGGGGGAGCAAGCGUUGUUCGGAUUUACUGGGCGUAAAGCGUGCGCAGGCGGCUUUGCAAGACAGAUGUGAAAUCCCCGGGCUCAACCUGGGAACUGCAUUUGUGACUGCAUGGCUAGAGUGCGGCAGAGGGGGAUGGAAUUCCGCGUGUGGCAGUGAAAUGCGUAGAUAUGCGGAGGAACACCGAUGGCGAAGGCAAUCCCCUGGACCUGUACUGACGCUCAUGCACGAAAGCGUGGGGAGCAAACAGG